UACGAGGGGGGCGAGCGUUGUUCGGAAUUAUUGGGCGUAAAGGGUGCGUAGGCGGUUUGGUAAGUCUUGUGUGAAAUCUACAGGCUCAACUUGUAGUCUGCACGAGAAACUGCCGGGCUUGAGUGUGGGAGAGGUGAGUGGAAUUCCUGGUGUAGCGGUGAAAUGCGUAGAUAUGCGGAGGAACACCAAUGGCGAAGGCAAUCUCCUGGACCUGCACUGACGCUCAUGCACGAAAGCGUGGGGAGCAAACAGG
rnacentral:rRNA from 1 species